UCAAAACGCUGUUCGUCUUUGACGAACACUUUAGUGUUCAUGCGCAUAGGCUCUUCGGCCGAUCACGUAAGAGCGGGUGCAGCAUUAGUGUGGCUGUACCAGACACGAGCAGUCUCAGUAUAUGACGGAAGCUUGUGCCGAAUGUUCAACAUCUGCUGCCACUGCUUUCUAGCCACCACAUCUUAACAGUGAGAAGUUGAUCUAAACCUGCUUUACCGUCCAAGCUCCAUCUAUUGAUAGGUUAAAGAAUUCUGGGGAAAAUAGCAGGAGUUGUCCUAUACGUUUUGAAACAUCACCUAGAGAUAAUAUUUUAAACUAUCUUAUCUUUUUCGUCUUGGUACUCCAGAGAGCCACAAAUCAUUGGAUAAAACAGUCUUUUUUUUAUCCUUGAUUAUAUAUUAUGACACAGUAAAGAACAUUGUCGCUCCUUGUCAUCAUCACCAUUAACACACGUUUGGUUUUACCCAAUUUUCCGAAAUUUCCUGGGGCCAGCCUACUAGACCAGCGACCAACCAGUUGAACUGAGCCAGCUGUUCUUUCACCGAUGCGAUAAAUAUAACGGAGAAGACGGACAGUGUUGGAGAUUGCAUGAGUCACAGUUAUCCAGACAGUUCAGACACAGUGUCGCCCCAAUAAGCAACCCUUUCUGUUCUUCUCUCGCUUCUGUGGGAGUACCUGAAACUAAAAACUUGGUGGAUCGACUCGGCGUCAUCUAGCCAACCAGACAGACAAACCUACCAAACCCGCUGUGCACGGGGCAGCCUUAACCCUUUCAUUCCAGGUGUACGUGCGUGAAAGGCUCAGCGGUUUCAGCGCAUUUCGAACGGCGUAGUCUGGUAUUCAGUAAUUCGUCUAGCCAAUCCAAGUAUUACAAAAAGUGGUCCUCGUCAGUUCGCCCCACCACACAUCGCCGAAGCUUAGGUUUCUAUCCCAGGCCAAACAUUUAGCAGGGAGAGACUGCUACUACGUUCUUAUCGCCCACUUGCCGGAAUUGAAGGAGCAUUUGACGUUGGAAUUUGGAGGCUCCUUUGUGGUUUAUUCUUCUAGAAGAUUCGAUGAUUAUGGCCAUGGUAAACAACCUUCCGACGGUCAAAGACUCUCGCUGGCUGCAGCUGGAGGUUUGCCGAGAAUAUCAGCGAAACAAAUGCACCAGACCUGACACGGAGUGCAAGUUUGCCCAUCCACCUGGAAAUGUGGAGGUUCAGAACGGAAGGGUAAUUACGUGCUACGAUUCCAUAAAGGGUCGGUGUAAUAGAGAAAAACCACCCUGUAAGUACUUUCACCCUCCGCAACACCUAAAGGAUCAGCUUUUGAUAAAUGGGAGAAACCAUCUUGCCCUUAAGAAUGCCUUGUUACAGCAGAUGCCUCUCCAACCAGUUCUCCACAGCCAGAUUCCAACUGUGGCUGCAACGAACUCCUACUUGGCCACUCUUCCCACGAUGGCCACACCUUCAACGUUCAGUCCCUACUUUAGUCCAAGUCCCAUGAUGGGGAUGAUGCCAGCUGAUGCCAUGGCACCACUAAGUGUUAUACCCACACCUAUGGUCACGCCUCAGAAGGUGCCACGUACGGACAGGUUAGAGGUUUGCCGAGAAUAUCAACGCGGCAACUGUAAAAGGACAGAAACUGAGUGCCGCUUCGCUCACCCCCAAGAGCACGUGGCUGUGGACGUUGUGGAAGGCAUGGUGACAGUCUGUAUGGAUUUCAUGAAAGGAAGGUGCACGCGGGAUCCAUGCCGCUACUUUCACCCUCCGCUUCACUUGCAGUCACAACUAAAGGCUGCCCAAAGUAGAGUUAACACCGCUUCUAUGGCUUUUCCUGGUAUGAUUCCUUGCACCAAAAGGCCAGCACUUGACAAAAGCGGACUCCCCAUGUACCAGCCAAGUACCACACCGUAUCAACAAGCUCUCACCAUGCAGGUUCAGCAGCCCUUCGUGCCUGUUUCCUUUGCUGUACACCCUGGGACUGUGCCAAGAUUUUAAGUCAGGUUUGUGUAAUUGAUCACCAUGUCGCUCUGUUCAUCUUUGAGAAGUAAGGUUUUGUGAAAGUUGUGGAUGGGAAAGCGACAAUGUUUCAUUAUUUGUUCAAAGGGAAAUUCUGUUGCCCUUUAUGCAAGUGCUAUCAUCUUCUUGCGGCCACGCCCUUUUUAGAGAUCUUGGUGUAGUUAUGCCAAGGUUUUAUCUAGGGCUAGAGUUAUAGGCUAUCUUGUAUGAUUUUGCCUCUUUGGGACUAGGGGGAUCCAAAUAAAAGAUAUUUAAGUUGAUGAUGACGUUAAAUAAAAAGUUGACGUGUAUCACUAACCCUAAUAUAUUCGAUUGCGUGAGAUCAAAAAUGAAAUAACAUACUUCAAAAUUGGUGAAAUCUUUUUUUUUUCUCUCUCUCUCUCUCUUUAAAUGCUGAAAUUUGAACCGAUGUUCGAUGAUGAAUUUGAAAUUUCUACCAAAAGAGUUUAUAUUUGAUAAUCAUGAACUUGUUUGGAGCUCUAGUCACACAUUCGACAAACAUGAAAAAUCUAAAUCUCUCUCACGUGCCAUUAAUUAUGACCACAUUCGAGACGUAUUUUUACUUGAAGAAGUAUGAAUGUUGAAGAAAAAGGUAUUUUCAAUUCCAUAUUACUUCCUCUCCAAACCAGCUCUUCUAUGUUGUGAUACUAGUUUUAAAAUAUAUUUACAUUUCUUUAACUGCAAAUAAUGUAGUAUCAUUUGGUGAUGGGUUAUGAACAGUUAAUGUUUAUGCAAAGUUAAAACACACGUUUUAAUCAUUUUUGGAUUAAGAAUGACCGACACAUUAUAAGAUAAUAAGAAAUUAUCAGAUAUAGGCUCAUUUUGAUGGCUAUUUGUUACUUGAAACUUAAAAACAGACGACUAUAUUGUUGUAUUUUUGAAUCAGUUAACGUUAAAUUUCAAUUCAAUUUGAUUAACUUUUUUAAAAUGUUUCCGUUAAUUUAUAAGUGUUAAAGUAACCCAAUGUUUUUUUGUAUUAUACUACAAGCAAAUGAAAUAAAUAUUAAACCCUGACACCAUAUAUAUACAUAUAUAUAUAUAUAUAUGUGAAAAUAUAUUAUAUUGAUAAUUAAUUAUUUUUAAAGACAUGAACUUACUUUAAAGUGUGUAGCUAAAACACCAUAAACAGAAAGAUAAGAAAUGAUGAUGAUAUGAGUUUGUGUAAACUUGAAAAGUAUAAGAUUAUGGUAUGAUAAUAUUUCUAUUGAUGGAUGUGUUCAUAUCUUUGAUUAAAAAUUGAAUGCGUUUCUCAUACGUGAUUUUGUUUUGUUUAAAUAUGGGUGUUACUAUUAAGUUUGCACUAUUUCGAAAUGUAAGGAAGAAGUCUGUUAUUGAUAGGUUUUCUUCUAUAUAAUAUUUACACAGCUUCAAAGGUAGUUAACGAUGGUAACGAAGGUUGUGUAUUUUUUAUUCAGCUAUAUUAACCAUUAUUACUAGUGUCCAAACUGAGUACUAAUAGUCGUAUGCGAUUGAAUGAAGUGAUUGAAUUAGCCUCAAAAGUCAUUAUGAAAUAUAUCAAGGUUAUGUGUUAAAACUUCCCCAAACUCUCUACUGGGUAUUAAAAAGUAUAUAUUUUAACGUUUGUGGUAAAUCAAUUCGGUUAAAAACCUAUGUCAAAAUGUGUGAUGUAUACACUAUGAUGCAUACUGGUUGAAGUUUGAAGUUUCAGUUCAAAGAUUGUUGGAUUGAGUUACAAAUAUGCCAAUUGGCGUAUGCAUUUUCAAAAUUUGUAAGGUUUAUGUUUUUACUCUCUUCAAAAUAUACACGCGAAAUGUGAAGAACAACAGAAGCUUUUACACUUACACGUAUUUCUCAUGCUUGCAGGUCACAAAGUUUAAUAAUUUCAUUACUUGAAGUUUCUCGGUCUUGCGAACACCCAUUUCCUUGCAACAUCGAAACCAUGUACUAGGUUCUGCCUAAAUUCCAGCUUCUCCAAAAUUUGAUUUGAUUGGUUGGUAUAAACAUAACAUCAUCCACUUAAAGCAUGAAUUAUCACCUUUACUACUCGUCUAGAUCCAGGCCAUCGAUGAACAUAAUUAAUCAAAUGUUUGAAAUUAUCGAGCUUGGCAGACUUGCCACUUUUUUGUUUUUGACAAAUCAGUCAAGCAAAAUAAAAUGGUAAACAAGGGAAUGAGUAAAGUUCGAGUAUUGGCUGAAAAUGCUAAUUUCAUACUAAAUGCCUCUGGAUUUUGAGCUUUCAAUCAGAUAUAUUUUCAUAUAACUAUGUUAAAAACGAGAGAAAUUAUCCCAACAAAUAACAAAUAUAUAUCCUUAAUCUGUUUGACGAGACUGUGACUGUAGAAAGCAACAGUGACACUAGUAAUCCUUAUACUGUGACUGUAGAAGGCAACAGCGGCUCUAGCUAUCCUUAAACUGUGAUGAGACUGUGAAUAUAGAAGGCAACAGCAACACUAGCUAUUCUGAAGCUAUGUUAUAAGACUGUAACUGUAG